rnacentral:lncRNA from 1 species
AAAUAUACAAGCACAUCUCUCAAAUACUAUUUUAAUUUAUUAAUAAACUUUAAUAUGACAUUUAUUUUAAAUAUUACAACAUAAUAAUUAACAAAAAAUAAAAACGAAUUACAAAAAUUUUACACUGCAGAUAUACAAAAUACCAAACGCAUUGAAAGAUCCAAUAUUAAAUAAAUUGAUCAUAGUUAAUAUUUUUCUAACUAGUUUGAUUUUAACAACCAACUCCACCUCCGCCUCCGCCUCCGUCUCCGCCUCCACCACUGCAUCCGCCGUCGCCUCCACCACCACUAAAAACAGAUCCACCGCCACCUCCACCAAUAUCUAUUGUGGUGUGUCCCGUAAAUCCAGUAUGGGCAGUAUGCCCAAUAAUUCUAUUAUGUCCAUGUCCUUCAGUACCACCACCAGUACGACCGCGCUUUGCUUCAUUACAUAAAGAAAGCAACAUUAAGACAAGACCCAAAAAUAAAAAAGAAGAAAAGGCAAUAAUUAUAGCUUGCCAAAUUUCCAUUUUUUUAAUUUUGUAGCUAGCUAGCUUCUGCAAUUCAGAUACAAGAUUUUAUAUAUUAUAUGUAUAUAUAUGUUGGCUAUACCUACACCCGCUUCUCCUUUUAUACUCAAGUACAAAAGAAAAUUUCCUACGUUCUUUCUUGAAACAGUUCAGAGAUAUUUUUCAAACUUACGAACAAAAAGUCUAAUAAGAGACUCUUGUUCGAUUAAUUAUUCAAUAAUUGAAUUUCAC